rnacentral:rRNA from 1 species
UACGGAGGGUGCAAGCGUUGUCCGGAUUUAUUGGGUUUAAAGGGUGCGUAGGUGGCUAUUUAAGUCAGUGGUGAAAGCCUGCAGCUUAACUGUAGGACUGCCAUUGAUACUGAAUAGCUUGAGUACUGAUGAGGUAGGCGGAAUUGAUAGUGUAGCGGUGAAAUGCAUAGAUAUUGGAAGGAACACCAGUGGCGAAGGCGACUACCUGGACAGACACUGACACUGAGACACGAAAGCGUGGGGAGCAAACAGG